rfam:Camelus ferus unplaced genomic scaffold scaffold1434, whole genome shotgun sequence.
GAGGGUAUUGCUCAAUGGUAGAGUGUGUGCUUAGCAAGCACGAGGUUCUGGGUUCAGUCCCCAGUACCUCCA